rnacentral:rRNA from 1 species
UACGUAGGGUGCAAGCGUUGUCCGGAAUUAUUGGGCGUAAAGCGCACGUAGGCGGCUUUCUAAGUCAGGGGUGAAAUCCUGGAGCUCAACUCCAGAACUGCCUUUGAUACUGGAGAGCUAGAGUCCGGAAGAGGUGAGUGGAACUGCGAGUGUAGAGGUGAAAUUCGUAGAUAUUCGCAAGAACACCAGUGGCGAAGGCGGCUCACUGGUCCGGUACUGACGCUGAGGUGCGAAAGCGUGGGGAGCAAACAGGG